rnacentral:rRNA from 1 species
CUGUACAGUUCAGAGUUUGAUCCUGGCUCAGGAUGAACGCUGGCGGCGUGCUUAACACAUGCAAGUCGAACGGAGAUUGCUAAAGGAAGUUUUCGGAUGGAAUUUAGUAAUCUUAGUGGCGGACGGGUGAGUAACGCGUGGGUAACCUGCCUCAUACAGGGGGAUAACACUCAGAAAUAGGUGCUAAAACCGCAUAAGCGCACGAAAUCGCAUGAUUUAGUGUGAAAAACUCCGGUGGUAUGAGAUGGACCCGCGUCUGAUUAGCUAGUUGGUGAGGUAACGGCCCACCAAGGCGACGAUCAGUAGCCGGCCUGAGAGGGUGAACGGCCACAUUGGGACUGAGACACGGCCCAA